CGCGGCCUAUCAGCUUGUUGGUGAGGUAACGGCUCACCAAGGCUUCGACGGGUAGCUAGUCUGAGAGGACGAAUAGCCACACUGGGGCUGAGACACGGCCCAGACUCCUACGGGAGGCAGCAGUGGGGAAUCUUGCGCAAUGGGCGAAAGCCUGACGCAGCAACGCCGCGUGGGGGAUGAAGGCUCUCGGGUUGUAAACCCCUUUCAGCAGGGACGAUUAUGACGGUACCUGCAGAAGAAGGACCGGCCAACUACGUGCCAGCAGCCGCGGUAAUACGUAGGGUCCGAGCGUUGUCCGGAUUUAUUGGGCGUAAAGAGCUCGUAGGCGGCUUCGUAAGUCGGGUGUGAAAACCCCAGGCUCAACCUGGGGACGCCACUCGAUACUGCGGUGGCUUGAGUCUGGUAGGGGAUCUCGGAAUUCCUGGUGUAGCGGUGAAAUGCGCAGAUAUCAGGAGGAACACCAGUGGCGAAGGCGGAGAUCUGGGCCAGUACUGACGCUGAGGAGCGAAAGCGUGGGGAGCGAACAGGAUUAGAUACCCUGGUAGUCCACGCCGUAAACGUUGGGCACUAGGUGUGGGGACCUAUCGACGGUUUCCGUGCCGCAGCUAACGCAUUAAGUGCCCCGCCUGGGGAGUACGG
rnacentral:rRNA from 1 species